CCUACGGUCGGCAGCAGUGAGGAAUCUUGGUCAAUGGCCGUAAGGCUGAACCAGCCAAGUCGCGUGAAGGAAGAAGGCUCUAUGGUUUGUAAACUGCUUUUAUAGGGGCAUACAGGUCUCCACGUGUGAAUCUUUUCCUGUACCCUAUUCAUAAGCAUCGGCUACCUCCGUGCCCGUCGCCGCGGGAAUACGGAGGGUUCGGGCGUUAUCCGGAUUGAUUGUGUUUAGGGGGUGCGCAGGCGGACGGGCAAGUGCGCGGGAAAAUUGCGGGGCUCAACCCAGUACUGCCGUUGAAACUGCAGAACUUGAGUGCGCGAGAAGCAUGCGGAAUGCGUGGUGUAGCGGUGAAAUGCAUAGAUAUAACGAAGAACUCCGAUUGCGAAGGCAGCAUACUGGAGCGCAACUGACGCUGAGGCACGAAAGCGUGGGUAUCGAACAGGAUUAGAUACCCCUGUAGUC
rnacentral:rRNA from 1 species